UCAUUUCCCUCAAAUUUGAGAUCUAAACACCCCCUAAAGGGAGCCAAAGGUUCGCCUUCUUACUCUUCAUUGCUGGAAAAUAGACUAUGCUUGUUGUAAGGAAACAAUGCAAUAACAUCACCUCUUCUUUCCCAUCUAACUUCAACCCCUCCAUCUCAUUCUCCAUGACUAUCACCUUACACCACCCGAACACCAAAAUAAACCCCGGCAGAAGAAAAUAACCGACUGACUACUCAAAACAAAACACAAC
rnacentral:lncRNA from 1 species